UACGGAGGGUGCAAACGUUGCUCGGAAUCAUUGGGCGUAAAGCGCACGUAGGCGGCUUCUUAAGUCGGGUGUGAAAGCCCUCGGCUCAACCGAGGAAGUGCAUUCGAAACUGGGGGGCUUGAAUACUGGAGAGGAUGGCGGAAUUCCCGGUGUAGAGGUGAAAUUCGUAGAUAUCGGGAGGAACACCAGCGGCGAAGGCGGCCAUCUGGACAGAUAUUGACGCUGAGGUGCGAAAGCGUGGGGAGCAAACAGG
rnacentral:rRNA from 1 species